UCAAAAAUCUAAACUAAUGUUCGAAUGAAGUGUAUAACUGAAAAUUAAAAAAAAAAAAGUAUUUCUUUUAAAGGAAACACUUGACUUUUAUUCGAUCAUAUCAGUGUGCUAAACUUUUAAAAGAAUAUCAGAUUUUUGCUCAAACCAGAACAUUGUGAUCAGAAUUAUUGAGUGUCAUAGUAAUGCUCAGGGGCGGAUCCAAGAUUUUCAAUAAGGGGGGCUGAAAUCUAAGAAAGUUAAUGCAAUAAAUUUUUUGGUAAAUGACACACUAAAACUAGGCGCAACCAUUUCGAAUGAAAAUUGAAGAAAAAUAUAUAUAUGUUCCCUAACAGAUAGAAUCAUUGAAUUUUCAUUUUGACAUCGGAUCAUAUAAACAGAAAAACACUAAACACCAAUAAAUCAACACAUCACCACUUAACAAGUAAUGCACAUUCGUCUAAAAAUUUGCACAUUCCAAUAUUUUUCUGUACUUCUCCUCUUUCAAAUGAACUUCACAUUUUACAUUUCUCUGCAUCUUACCAUAUUAAUUCCUUAAAAACUAUAUGAAUUACCAUAAUAUGUUCUACUCACAAAAUUCAAGUGAUUAGUGGGAUAUGAUGUAUAGAAGAAUACAAAAGUCCAGAUUUUUACAUUUUAGAAUUCAAAACCAGCAAAAUGCAAAAUCCAACCAAAAAAAAAUUCAUAGCAGGACUAGAUUAAUAGUGGACUUUCAUGUAAAAUGCAUAAUCAUCAAAGCCCAUAUUGUACUAAACAAAUCAAGCAGUUGAGAUGAAACUCUAUCAACAAAUGUGGAAGAUUGAGGGCAAAUUUACCAUUUUGUAAUAUUUUUUUGCACUCAAACUGGGACGAAAUGUCAUUUUCCCUGUAAUGUGGUUUCAAUUCAGCAACAUCCAUAUUUUUCAAUAAAACCCCAAAAUUUCAGGCUAUGAAAAUUUUCAAAUUCCCAAGGAAUUGCUCCGCCCCUGGGUAAUUGAAUAAAAUUAUAAAAAUUAGUAUGAACUGGAUAAAGAUUUAUACAUAUUUAAACCGAAAAUCAAUAUCCAGUUUGACUAAAUUUUACAUGAAAAAACUCAUCUAAAUAGCAAAUCCCAUAUAAAUCCAACUCAAAGAUAAAUUAAUGGAGAAGCAGAUUUCCUAAACCAUCUCAAAAACUUGGGGGCUGAUACGUUAUUUUUGGCAUUCUGGCUACAGUGAAAGAAAGAGG
rnacentral:lncRNA from 1 species